rnacentral:rRNA from 1 species
GACGAACGCUGGCGGCGUGCUUAACACAUGCAAGUCGAACGGAAAGGCCCUGCUUUUGUGGGGUGCUCGAGUGGCGAACGGGUGAGUAACACGUGAGUAACCUGCCCUUGACUUUGGGAUAACUUCAGGAAACUGGGGCUAAUACCGGAUAGGAGCCCCUGCUGCAUGGUGGGGGUUGGAAAGUUUCGGCGGUUGGGGAUGGACUCGCGGCUUAUCAGCUUGUUGGUGGGGUAGUGGCCUACCAAGGCCUUGACGGGUAGCCGGCCUGAGAGGGUGACCGGCCACAUUGGGACUAAGAUACGGCCCAGACUCCUACGGGAGGCAGCAGUGGGGAAUAUUGCACAAUGGGCGGAAGCCUGAUGCGGCGACGCCGCGUGCGGGAUGACGGCCUUCGGGUUGUAAACCGCUUUCGCCUGUGACGAAGCGUGAGUGACGGUAAUGGGUAAAGAAGCACCGGCUAACUACGUG